rnacentral:rRNA from 1 species
GACGAACGCUGGCGGCGUGCUUAACACAUGCAAGUCGAACGGAAAGGCCCCUUUGGGGGUACUCGAGUGGCGAACGGGUGCGUAACACGUGAGUAACCUGCCCUUGACUUCGGGAUAACUUCAGGAAACUGGGGCUAAUACCGGAUAGGAAUCCUUGCUGCAUGGUGGGGGUUGGAAAGCUUCGGCGGUUUUGGAUGGACUCGCGGCUUAUCAGCUUGUUGGUGGGGUAGUGGCUUACCAAGGCUUUGACGGGUAGCCGGCCUGAGAGGGCGACCGGCCACAUUGGGACUGAGAUACGGCCCAGACUCCUACGGGAGGCAGCAGUGGGGAAGAUUGCACAAUGGGCGGAAGCCUGAUGCAGCAACGCCGCGUGCGGGAUGACGGCCUUCGGGUUGGAAACCGCUUUCAGCAGGGGCGAAGCUUGUGGUGACGGUACCUGCAGAAGAAGCACCGGCUAACUACGUG